AGAGCAUACGGAGACCAGGGACAGGCAAGGGACCCUUUGAGGCUAUGAAUUAUUAUCACUCCUUGAGAGGGAACCUAAAAGAAAAUAUAAGGACCCAACAGUGUGAUUUAUUGCCCAUAAUGUAUAUAAUUAUAAUUAAACCAGGUAAAAUAUUCUUUUUUGGUAAUAAGAAUGAAGUUCUUUUUCUUGUUUCUUAAACCUCAGAUAGAAGAAAACCUUUAUUGCAUGGACAGUAGCACCCAGGAUCAGAUGGCUGGUGCUGAUACGUCAGUCUGUUCUAUCCCUCGCUUAUAAACACCAAGCACUCUGAGAGCAAUAAGGCUGUCUACUGUCAGAAAGCCAGGCCUGCUAAUUAGACCACAGGAAAUCCUCAGCUCAGCACAUUGGACAGGCCCAGAGUGAAGGAGCCCAACCCACUCCUUGGAAAAAAUCCAGCAAGUUAUCGAAGUUCUGCUCCCUAUGUUAUUUCCAUGACACAUAUAUUAUAUAUACCAGAAAUGUUUAUCCAGCAGGGAAUGCAAACCCAAUCAAAGGUGCCUUAUCUCAUAUCAAAGCCAUGCUAAAUUAAAAAAUAGAAAAUAUUUCCCCUAUGUCCUGAUUUAGAUAAUGCUGAUGAAAUAUAAUAAGAAGUACAUGUCACACAACUCCAAAAGAGGAGACACAAACACAGACAAUGUAUGCAUAGGAAAAACAUUAAAAGAAUAAAGCAAAGGCAAAAGGGGGACUGAGGUUUUUAUGAGCAUAAAUUCUUUUAAUAAUUUUUUUUCCAAAAAAUGAAACCUGCACCUCUAUCCCUAACAACUUUCUGACAUCACUGCCCAGGAAAGCCACAUAGCUCUUAGACUGGAUGGGCUUUAGGAUUCCUCAGGAUGUGGAAUCCACUAGCUUUCCUUUCCUAUUAGUGCUUUUCCCCUCUUUGCUAAUGGAUCAUAAUUAUUUAUAAACCCACCUGUCUGGUAUAAGAGGGUGGGCCACCAAUGCUGGGAAGCACAAAUUUCCCACACCAUCCAACCACCUUGCCACUGCACUCACUGUCCUUGCCCUGACCUCUGCCUGACCACACCUGUAGGAGGUUUACCUGGGGCAGGGGGAGUAGGAAGGAGUAGGUAGGGCUUUGGGUGUCAGUCAACUGGAGCCAGGCAACUUGCAAGGUGCAUGAUCUGACCCUGAGUCAGCCUGAAGUCUGCUGACCAACACUGGCUGUUCCUUACCUGGCUGCUCCAUCCACCCUUCUCACCAACUUCCAGGAAGUACCAAAAAGCAAACAUAAACUCUGAUAUGAACAACUACAAGCUCUUGUUUUAAAAUAGUUUGAAUGCCUCUCCAGAGUAAGCCUGUUUGAGACCUCUAAUAUUCUUCAACUGGAGGGGCACAGUGUGAACCGGUUUUGACAAGGAGUUCGCCUUAAAACUGCUCUGCCAUUUGCAACAUCUGAUCAAGAGAUUCCAGCUCCUCAGCUGGUGAAAAGAACCCUCAGUUCAUGAAAUUAUUAAACUGAUAAUGCCUACACAAGAAUGACCGCUCAGCAUCCUGUGUCCACUGUUGCUCUGGGCUUGGAGGACUCAGCUACAGCCAGGGAAAAAAUGGAGGAAAGAUGCAAAGGAAACCAUAAAACUGGAAUCACUCCCUUUGUGGUGGUGGCAAUGAGUUUUGUUGUUAUUUUCUAGUUUAAUUGAAAGUUUGCUAGAGAACAUGGUCUGUGUAAUAAUAAUUCUUUGAUUUUGUUGAGACUUGCAUUUGGGGCAAAUGUGUGGUCAAUUGUAGGCAAUGUUCCAUUCAUACUUGACUAGAAUGUGAUCUUUUAACUUGGGGGCACAGAACUCCUUAUAUUACAGUUAAGAUGGUUGAUCUUAUUAAUUGCAUAGCUAGACACGGUGUAAAAACUGUUCAUUGUGCUCCUAACCCUUUAAUUCCUAAUCUUUAUGAGGGUCCUCUGUGCCCAAAAGACCCAAAUUGUCACUGAUUGUCCCUGCUUUGAGCCAGGCAUCACCAAGAAUUAUCCUAAACUCAAUUAAGCUACAUGAUCAGAGAAUUAAUUUGAUUGACCCUUUGGGUGCUUGAAUUUCUUUUGCAAAGAUCCCACUAAGCAGCAUGAACCCUCCAGGACUGGGGUACUUGGCCUCUGGGAGAACAACCUGCUGGGAUGGGAGAUCUCAGGAGCUCUCAGUCAGUUGUUUUCCACACCACAGGUAAAUGGCUGCAAAAAGUCAGGGCAAAAAGUCUUGACUUUUUAAAGAUAUUAUUUACCAGUUCUUUCAACAAAUAUUAGUUGAGCACCUGCUGUUCUAGUGCCUUGAGGUAAACUGUGAUUUCAUUCUACCCCCAAAGUAAUUCCAUGCUUUAGAGGAAGAGGGAGAGAGUAAAUGCAAAUACU